GAAAGUGAUGGCUUUAUUUGCUUUACUGAUUAAAAACAGCCCAGGAGGUCACAUACCUACCAGAAUCUAACCCCCACCCCAGCCUCUCUUUCUUGGUUUCUUGCACUUCCAUUGAGAAGUGGCCGGGGCUUCGGUGGCAGCCUGGCAGGACGGACGGUGGUAGGUGUGGGCGUCAGGGAACUGCUGUUGGGAGCCGAAGUGCUGGGUUUGCGUUCCGGCUCCUGGUUUCACUUAAGUGACUCUGUGACCGUGGGCUGUGUUCUCAAUUAGUGCCACAGAUUCUUCCUGAGGAAGGCAGCUCUGAGCAGGAGCUCCUGGUAAAUCUGAAGGACUCGGCCGGAGAAGUGCUGAACUGUGGAUGUGUCAAACCUGGUCGCUGAGCUGAAAUCCCUUUUCCUGCUGGGACUAUGUGUCUACACUACACACAUGGCAGAGCUGGGUGUCUCUGGAUAUCGGUUGAAGUCCUAAAGCCGAGGACAGUAGACAGGUUUCUCACCGAACUUGGAGCUCAUCAAUUCAGCUAAAUUGGUUGGCCAGCAAGUCCUGGGAUCUGCCUAUCUCUGCCUCUACCCCAGCUAGAGCCCUCAUAGGUCCCUGGGAUUCAACGUGGAUCCUCAGGUGUAUGUUUGUUUUGGCUCAGCUCUGAGCUCUCUGGGAACUCAAAGUCCUGACUAACGGCAUUGUUGGACCUGGGUGCCUCUGAGGAAGAUCUGUCUGAGAAAGAAGAGAUAGAGCUGAGAUGUUAAAUGUUUCCAACAAAAGCUAUCAGGGCAGAAUGUCCUGACUCAGCACUUCCCGGCAUUUUUUGAGGUUUUGUCCACAGACAAUGUACAGUUACUCCUUUUUGAGCAUGUGGUUUUCUUUAUUUAGUUUUUCCUCCCUUAAGCUUAUGGGUUUUCAUUGACGAGAUGGUUGUGCAAGUCUGAGGUGCAGGCACUGCCCGGAAGCUGGUAAGUGGAUGGUGGCUACUUACUCUCAGUGCCAGGGGACACCUAAGCGUGGCUCCUGACUCUCGGUGGCAGGCAGAGCUGCUGUCACUUGUGGAUCCCUGAGCUGGACUCCCGGCAGCUCCGGCUCUUGGGUUCUGUCCCUUGCUACCACUGUGGAGCUCUAGUUUGUUGACUUAUGAGUCACACGGUCCUUGGCUUGUGUGAUGGCUUGAGCCGUAUCUUCCCACCCUGGUGUGUUGAAGUCUCCAUGCCCAGUAUGACAGGAUGUGACCAGAUUAUUGCAAGACAUUGUUCCUGUUCAGCUUUGCCACUCUUGGGAGUUAAUAAUCUAAUCAGAGGCAGAAAGCCCUCAUAGGAAACAGUUCACAAGGCAAGGCAUUAGAGAAUUUCAGGACCGCAGGAUCUGUGCCCCGAUGCAGACAAGCAGAACUAAUGUUAGCAUCUCCUUAGACCCUACUAGGUUCCCAGAAAGCCAUUGUCUGGGCUUUCUCCCUAGACUUGUUUCAACAGCAUUUCUGACACCUUGAGUUAGUUGGUGAGUUUUCUUCUUUGCAAAAUUAGGUUUACUCGCACGGAUGCCACACUUGUUAAGAGAAUGAGCAAGCAGAGGGAGACCAACUGUACCAUCACGAGAACAAGGUGUCUCCUCAUCGCCCAGGGAAGAUGUAGCUGGUUUAUGGAAGAAGAAUCCCAUGGGUGGACAAACACUUGAAGCUCACCAACAGGACCCGACACUCACCACCGAGGGGUUAGAAAGGACUGCCCAUGGCCUCUGACAUAAGGAGGCUUUUUUUGUCUAGAGGACCUCAUCUGCCAAAGUGGGCUGGGAGAGGCCACCUGAGACUAACAGUGGCUUGCCAGGUGUUAAAGAAGCACUAGAACCUGAUCCUCGCUUGCAGUCCCGUUUGUGGGGCUCCCCUGCUUCCAGCACUCCUCUGCUUCCGAGAGUUCCCUUUCUCUCCUUUCAUUUUCUGUAAGGUCAAAGAUAAAGACCUGGCUUCAGGGUCCCACCACAGACAAGCUGUGCAACCGUUCAUGAGAUUUCAAGCUUGCUUGGACUCAGCUCCUUCAUUUUUGUAAACCAGAAAAGUAAGACCUGCUUUUAAAUGCUUCUGGCCUCAGAUCUAAAUGGAAGCCAGAACAGCCCGUCUCUCAUAACAGAGAGUGAUUGGUCAACGUCAGCCACGUUCGUGCUGGUGAUUUGACUCUGGUAUGGGCAUCUGGGGCCAAUGGUGGCUCUUGGUAGCUGGUCUUGAAAUUCAUUUUGGGAAAGGUACUGCCCACUUUCUUAGAGUGUUGGGGGUGGCGCUGAGCUCUGAGAAGCUGGACCUGAAGAAGAGUCUAGCCAAGAGAUCUCGGAUUUCUCCAGAGUUCAUGGGCGGAGCAGAGCCUGAACAUUCAUGCUGUGACAAGAGGCACAAUGGCUGCUUGGGCCCACAUUACCUCUUGUCUUCCACCACUGGCCUGAGCCAAUACAAUCAACCGCUCCACUCUCUCCCACUUGGUAACCUGAAAACUUCUGAGGAUCUAUGAUAACCACUUUGUCAUUACUGAGGAGAAAAUGAACAAAAAAGACAGCCACUGGCAUAGGGAAGGGUCAGGCAAGGGCAAGUCUCCAAAAUUUGGCAGAAAGGGUUGGGGUCUGAAAAACAAAUGUAACUAAGCAAGGAGUCUGUCCUUCUUCCUUCUACUCCCCAUGCCCUCUCUGGACUCCUAUUCCAAGAUCUUUAAUUUUGAAAUUUUAAACAAGAAAGUGUAUUAAUCUUCAAGAGCUCUCAUUAAUCACCAUGCCUGGCCCAGUGGUGAGGGAGAAAGAGAGAGAUGACUCACUUCUACAGUUGAUUUCUUGGUAAUGGAGGGUCAGGGCCUGCCCUUACAUUACCCCUUUGUCGAACUAAUGGAGAAAACUCUCACUUAGGAAGCACCCAUUCUGGAGCAAUUUUUCAGUGGAAGAUUGCAGACAGUAAUAGCCACCGACAAGAAAAGAUUUCCCUUAGGGAAACGAGAGUGAGUGGCUUGGCAGAAUCAUGAGAAACACAGACCUUGCCCUGGAGAGUUGUGGGGUUCGAUGGCAGGGUUGAGUAAGGCAUAAGCUUCAGUAUGUGGCAUAUGAAGUGCAUCUUCAACAAACAGUGAACCUUUACCACAUCCCUUCUUGGUGCCAGGCACUGUGAGGGCCUUCUUUCUGUCAUCGUUUGAUCAGUAUGUGACAGGUGGCAUCACGUCCCCUGGUUUACUGAUACGAAUUCUGACAUGCAUGCCAAGCGACUUGUUAAAUACGACUUUUCUCAUUGCUGUAAUAAAAUACCCAACAAAGAAAGCAACUUAAGGCAGGCAUGGCUUAUCUUGGCUUACCGUUUGAGGGGCUACAGUCUUCACAGCGGAGGGUGCAGGAGUCAGCUGGCUCUAUUACAUUUAGUGAGGAAGAAGAGAGAAAUGCAUGUUGGGAUUCCACUCGCUUUCUACUUUUUCUUCAGUCUGGGAUCCCAGAUCACGGGAUGUUGCUGCUCACAUGCAGGGGGAUCCUCUUCAGGUAAAUCUCUACGGAACGAACACCCUCACAGACACACCCAGAGAGGCAUCUUCUAGGUGCAUCUCCAUAUCUAGUCAAGCUGACGAUGGAGUCCGACGGUCAAGGUUGCCUAAGGCCUCACAGCUGGAGGAAAAUCCACAGAACUCGUAGUUCCUGUGUGGAGAUGAACGUCUUUCAAGGUGAAGAGUUUGCAUUUAAAACAUAAAACCAC
rnacentral:sRNA from 1 species